GAUGAAGAACGUAGCGAAAUGCGAUAAGUAAUGUGAAUUGCAGAAUUCCGUGAAUCAUCGAAUUUUUGAACGCAUAUUGCGCCCCCUGGUAUUCCGGGGGGCAUGCCUGUCCGAGCGUCAUUACAACCCUCAAGCUCAGCUUGGUGUUGGGCCCCGCCGCCCCGGCGGGCCCUAAAGUCAGUGGCGGUGCCGUCCGGCUCCGAGCGUAGUAAUUCUUCUCGCUCUGGAGGUCCGGUCGUGUGCUCGCCAGCAACCCCCAAUUUUUUUCAGGUUGACCUCGGAUCAGGUAGGGAUACCCGCUGAACUUAAGCAUAUCAAUAAGCGGAGGA
rnacentral:misc_RNA from 1 species